rnacentral:rRNA from 1 species
AUUGAAUGCUGGCGGCAGUCCUAACACAUGCAUGUCGAGCGGAGCGGCGGACGGGUGAGUAAUGCCUAGGAAUCUGCCUGGUAGAGGGGGAUAACGUCCGGAAACGGGCGCUAAUACCGCAUACUAUCAGAUGAGCCUAGGUCGGAUUAGCUAGUUGGUGGGGUAAAGGCCUACCAAGGCGACGAUCCGUAACUGGUCUGAGAGGAUGAUCAGUCACGUUGGAACUGAGACACGGUCCAGUCUCCUACGAGAGGCAGCAGUGGGGAAUGUGGGACAAUGGGCGAGAGCCUGAUCCAGCCAUGCCGCGUGUGUGAAGAAGGUCUUCGGAUUGUAAAGCACUUUAAGUUGGGAGGCGGUACCAACAGAAUAAGCACCGGCUAACUUCGUGCAAGCAGCCGCGGUAAUAC